CCUACGGGAGGCAGCAGUGGGGAAUAUUGGACAAUGGGGGGAACUCUGAUCCAGCGACGCCGCGUGAGUGAAGAAGUAUUUCGGUAUGUAAAGCUCUAUCAGCAGGGAAGAAAGAAAUGACGGUACCCGACGAAGAAGCCCCGGCUAACUACGUGCCAGCAGCCGCGGUAAUACGUAGGGGGCAAGCGUUAUACGGAUUUACUGGGGGUAAAGGGAGCGUAGACGGGGAUGCAAGUCUGAAGUGAAAGGCGAGGGCCCAACCCCCGGACUGCUUUUGAAACUGUAUUGCUGGAGUGCAGGAGAGGUAAGUGGAAUUCCUAGUGUAGCGGUGGAAUGCGUAGAUAUUAGGAGGAACACCAGUGGCGAAGGCGGCUUACUGGACUGUAACUGACGUUGAGGCUCGAAAGCGUGGGGAGCAAACAGGAUUAGAUACCCCUGUAGUC
rnacentral:rRNA from 1 species